rnacentral:rRNA from 1 species
CCUACGGGUGGCAGCAGUGAGGAAUAUUGGUCAAUGGCCGGAAGGCUGAACCAGCCAUGCCGCGUGAAGGUCAGUGCCCUAUGGGCGUUAAACUUCUUUUGUGCGGGAGCAAUAAUGGUCACGUGUGGCCCGACGAUAUUACCGUACUAAUAAGCAUCGGCUAACUCCGUGCCAGCAGCCGCGGUAAUACGGGGGAUGCAAGCGUUAUCCUGAUUUAUUGGGUUUAAAGGGUGCGUAGGCUGUGAGGUAAGUCAGCGGUGAAAUGCCCCCGUUCAACGGGGUGAAGGGCCAUUGAUACUGCCUGGCUGGAAUGCGGAUGCCGUGGGAGGAAUGUGUGGUGUAGCGGUGAAAUGCAUAGAUAUCACACAGAACACCGAUUGCGAAGGCAUCUCACGAAGCCGCGAUUGACGCUGAUGCACGAAAGCGUGGGUAUCAAACAGGAUUAGAUACCCUAGUAGUC